CCUACGGGUGGCAGCAGUGAGGAAUAUUGGUCAAUGGGCGUAAGCCUGAACCAGCCAAGUCGCGUGAGGGAUGAAGGUUCUAUGGAUCGUAAACCUCUUUUAUAAGGGAAUAAAGUCUGGGACGUGUACUGUUCUUAAUGUACCUUAUGAAUAAGGAUCGGCUAACUCCGUGCCAGCAGCCGCGGUAAUACGGAGGAUCCGAGCGUUAUCCGGAUUUAUUGGGUUUAAAGGGUGCGUAGGCGGCCUUUUACGUCAGAGGUGAAAGGCUGUGGCUCAACCCUAGAAUUGCCGUUGAAACUGGGAGGCUUGAGAAUGGUUGAGGCAGGCGGAAUGCGUGGUGUAGCGGUGAAAUGCUUAGAGAGCACGCAGAACCCCGAUUGCGAAGGCAGCCUGCCAAGCCAUGACUGACGCUGAGGCACGAAAGCGUGGGGAUCAAACAGGAUUAGAUACCCGAGUAGUC
rnacentral:rRNA from 1 species